GCCUUUGUCCGGAACAGUGAUCGAUUUGAAGUCGUCAAUAAUCGGAAAUUAGGAUCCGUCAAUAAAUUUACCUAAAUAUUGUCGUUCAAUGUGCAGCGAUGACUUCGGAAAAUGUAAAAGUCAUUGCGAGAUGUCGGCCGAUGAACGCGAGGGAACGGGCAUUAAACAGUAAGAACGUGGUGUUUAUAGACUCGGAAAAAUGCACUUGUUCGAUCGUCAAUCCCACGGAUGGUUCGGCGCCGCCGAAAACGUUUACGUUCGACGGCGUGUACGGGCCCGAUUCAAACACGGAGCAGAUAUACAACGACAUCGCUUAUCCUUUUGUGGAAGGUAUAUUAGAGGGUUACAACUGCACGGUGUUUGCGUACGGGCAGACUGGAUGUGGUAAGAGUUUCUCGAUGCAGGGUGUAGACUCACCGCCGCAUCAACGCGGUAUCAUACCCAGAGCCUUCGAACACGUCUUCGAGGCAAUAUCUGUCACGGACGACGUUAAGUUCUUGGUGCUCGCCUCGUAUAUUGAGAUCUAUAACGAGGAAGUGAGAGACCUGUUGAGUACGGACACCAAACGGAGACUUGAAUUGAAGGAGAAUCCAGAGAGGGGAGUCUACGUACACGAGUUGUCACAUCAUGCCGUGCAUGACGUGAUCGAAUGUCAAAAGCUCAUGGAACAGGGUUGGAGGAAUAGAGCUACCGGGGCCACAAUGAUGAACGCCGACUCUUCCAGGAGCCAUUCGAUUUUCACCAUAUCCGUAGAAAUGAUGUCAACGUCGCAAGAUGUCGAUGAAAUUAAGUCGAUAAAACGAGGUAAGCUGAGUCUGGUGGACUUGGCGGGCAGCGAACGUCAGGCGAAAACCGGAGCCUCGGGUGAUAGGCUUAGAGAAGCCACAAAAAUUAAUCUUUCUUUGUCGGCCUUGGGCAACGUGAUAUCAGCCCUGGUUGACGGAAAAGCAAAACACAUACCGUACAGAGAUUCAAAACUCACCCGAUUGCUACAAGAUUCUCUUGGUGGAAAUACUAAAACGCUGAUGGUCGCUUGUCUUUCGCCUGCAGACAAUAACUAUGACGAGACCUUGUCGACAUUGAGGUAUGCUAAUCGCGCCAAGAACAUAUACAACGAACCACAUGUAAACGAAGAUCCCAAAGACACGAUGCUGCGCCAGUAUCAAGAACAGAUAAAGAAACUAAAAGAACUGUUGGAAGCUUCCACUGCUCAGUUUCCCUCGAGUAACGGCCAGAACGAUAUUUCCGAAAAAGAAAAAUUGCGACUGGAGUAUCAAGAUGAAAUGAUCAAACUAAGGGAAAAAUAUCAAGAAGAAUACAAUUCUAAGUGUCAGAUGCAAGCAGAUUUGAAAACGUUAAAAGAGAAGUACGACAAAAACUUGGCAAAAAUCUCGAACCAAAACGAAAAUAAUUGUAGGACUUCAUCCCCGCAGCAGAUAGUGGAAAAAGCAUUGAAGAACAAUCGAGUAGAAUUAAACUCAUCACAACAGGAAAUAUUGAAAAGGUUGAAGAAAUUGCAAGAGAGUAUGGUUGGCGGUGAGCGAGUCAACGACAAAGAGCUUCAGGAACGUCGAUUGCGCAAGAAAAAAGCAGCCGAGAGACGGUUGAACGCAUUAGCGAGGGCGCUAGCCACUGUCGAGACCGAAGACGGACCGAACUUGGUGUUGGGCGUGUACGACGAUAUACAGGAAGAGCUGAGGGCCAAGAACGAGGCGUUGAAGAAGUAUAGACAAAAACUGAAAGCGUCGGACAGAGAGGUGGCGGAUAUCCAGAGCGAAUUUGAAAACGAGCGGACGGAUUAUUUAGAAACAAUUAGAAAACAAGAGCGACAGAUCAAACUGCAGAGUCAAAUCUUAGAAAAAAUCGUGCCAACGCUAUCGAAAGAAUGCAAUUAUAGCAACUUGGAGAGGUUGAAAGAAGAUGCGGAAUGGGAGGACGACACGCAAAGUUGGAUACUGCCGGAGCUGACGAGGAUAAAACUACCUCCGGCUUCGGAAGUAUCAGAAAUCGACAGAAGACGAUUUUGCCGGCAAUUACUUUAAACCAAAACGAGCUACUGAGUUGCUGAUACAAUCCCACGGAGAGUCUGGUCGACCGUUUCAUAAAUGGAAAGGACACAGACGAAUAUCACCAGAAAAUAUAGUUAAAAAGCCGACGAAAUUAGAAUCUCUCCUUCCGGUUAUUGGUGACCGAAAAUUACAAAAGAAUACCUUGGACAGAAUUUAAAAAAAUAUGUUCCUACAUUUAAU
rnacentral:misc_RNA from 1 species